rnacentral:lncRNA from 1 species
GCUGGGGACACGGACGCACGCGAGGCACGGUCUAGCCCUGGAGGAGCUCGGCUGUGCACCAAGCAGACAGACGGAAAAAUAUCCCGCUAUCUGGACACGGCAGAAGAGCUCCAUGCAGAGAUAGGAAUAAAAAGCGACGGGUACUCAGCGAUGAAAGGGUCGGGCCAUGGACACGUACAACAGAUGCUUCCUGCUGAGCAGAAACAGCCAGACGGAAAAGGCUACGUCCUUUAUGAUUCCAUUUGCAUGAUAUUCUCGCAAAGGCAAAACGUGGGGGAGAGGUCACAGCGGUGGCUUCCAGGGCCUGGGCGGGAAGGGGUGCCGGUGAAGGGGGGGCAUGACUACAAGAGUCGGCAGAAAUUGGGGGGGGGCGGCAGUGCUGUUCCGUGUCUUGCCCGUGGUGGUGGUUACAUGACCGUACGUAUCUGACAAACAUACAUUUGUCAAACUCACAGACUGCAGAUUGUAUCUCAACAAAAAAGGCCGCACUGUGACGAAUUUAGGAAGAUGCCGUGGACCUCAGGAAGGGAAAAUUAAUUCCACUUGGGGGACGGAGAGGGUGAGAGGCGGGGGCAACCGAGGUGUGCCAGGCCUGAAAAAUGAGGAUGAGGUCUUUUGAAGAGACCCAAGGAGGAAAGGGCACCGGGAUGGGGGGGGAAGGGGGACAGCGAGCAUGGAGGGUGCUUCUCUCCCGAAAUUCCUCUCAUUUGGCUGUUGUCAACAGACAGCCUUGUCGUCCCUGGGAGAAAGACGCUCAGAGGAAAAUGACAGACACCCAAGUCCUCAAAGGCCCUGGGCCUGUGUGCACGCUUCAGACCAGGCCAAGACCCGACUCGUGGAAGAGGGCAGAUUCUGAGUUAGGCUCCAUAAUUUGCUAGAACAGCCCUCAAGAUUUGGAAAAACAUUAAGAUGACUGGUUUAUCUUCAAAGAUACAAUCUGGGAACAACCAGGCGGAAGAGACGAGAGGCGCAGAGUUGGGGGGGGAGUUGGUGGGCUGGUUCCAGGUUUGCGAAGCUUCUACGCCCUCAGGGCUCCCCACCCAGCAGCACCUCGCAGGACAGGCUCCGGCCGGGUGGACACCCGGACCCUGGGAACCAGCCCAGGCCUGUCUGAGGCCUGCCGUCAUGAGCCUCGACAGACAGAAACGUGCUCCUUCGAGACGUGCGGGGACUCUAGGGAGACGGCCCUGUGUCCGCACGGCCGGGCGAGGCCGCCUCCGCCUGACCCUCGGAGCGCGCUCAGCUGAUGCCAAGUUCCCGGGUCACGGGGUGAGCUGUGCCCAGCUGCUGAUUACACAAGCUGCUUUUCCGGAAAGCCUGAGUCACCACCCAGAGAUGGCCUGA